GACGAACGCUGGCGGCGUGCCUAAUACAUGCAAGUAGAACGCUGACGUGAGGAGUUUGCUCUUCUUCGGAGAGUUGCGGACGGGUGAGUAACGCGUAGGUAACCUGCCUUCUAGCGGGGGAUAACUAUUGGAAACGAUAGCUAAUACCGCAUAACAAUUGUUGACACAUGUCAUUUAUUUGAAAGGGGCAAUUGCUCCACUACAAGAUGGACCUGCGGUGUAUUAGGUAGUAGGUGAGGUAAUGGCUCACCUAGGCGACGGUACAUAGCCGACCUGAGAGGGAGAUCAGCCACACUGAGACUGGGACAGGGACCAGACCCAGACGGGAGGGAGAAGUAGGGGAUAUGAAGAAAGGGGAGCAAGCGUGACCGGGAAGCACCGAGGGAGUGAAGAGGGUUAUCGGAUCGUAGAGCGCAGUUGUAAGUCAAGAGGGGGUAAGGGGAUGGAAGGGUCACACUGUGACGGUACCUUAUGAGAAAGGGACGGCUAACUACGUG
rnacentral:rRNA from 1 species